rnacentral:lncRNA from 1 species
AACAGAAAAGAAAAUGAAGUCCGGGGUCCAAAAUAUCUGAGGACCCCAUAUAUAUACAUAUACACGUGGGUCGGAUCGGGUCGGACGACCCAAAGGCAGAAAAUGAAAUAGGGCUCAGAUACAGUGGGCUCGGCACAUACAGUUGGCCCAAUAACAAUUAAUCAUCACAGCCCAUACCAUUGUAUACCAAAUAUGCAAUAAACAUACAUUGUAUAUACACUGUCUAGAACUAUGUAAUCUCCUUCAUCUCAACA